AUGUUUUAAUUUAUUGGAAAAAAAAUAACCCUUCACAAUUAGCUGGAAAGUUUAGAUAAAAAUCUUAAAAAAAACACAACAGAAAUUCAUGCAUUAGUAAGGCUGGAAGGGACCUCAAGAGACCAUCUAGUUGAACCUGCAACCUUGGUAUUAUUAGCACCACUCUAUAACCAACUGAGCUGAAGAACCAGUAUUUGAACAUUAUAAUUGGAAGUUGUGUUUGAAGUAAUAGGCUUAAUUAACAAUGUCAGCUACAAAAUAGCACUUUUAAAUGCAUUUUUUUAAACAUUUUGAAUCAAAUUUUAAAUGAAUCAUGACAAAAUGUCAAAAAUGGAUAAUAGGUUAUUUCGCUGCUGAAUUGGUGAAAGAAAAAAGGAAAUACUUUGUCUCAAUUUGCCAAUUGCACCCUGAUAGCUUGUUUGAAUUCUUGCUGGAAAUGAUACGAAUCACUUCUAUAGUAAUCAAAAUAUAGGUCAUGUUAACUUUUAUAUCCAACACUUUAUUUACUUCAGUUACUAGGAGUAGGUCUGGGACAGAGACUUUUUCUCCCUGAUGGAUUAACUGUGUGUAUUUAUUUUUUUACAUAAACCGGAUAUCCACAAUAUUUACAGUUCUCCCAAAUGAACAGUGAAAUAGUGUUUGCCAGUUCAGUGCUCAGAACUAAUACUUUCUAAGAUUGGCAUCUUCAAACAAGAACAAGGGUCUCUUAUCUUCCUCACCUUUUAAAAAUAUGUUUCCCUACAUCUAACUUCCAGAGUUCAACUGUAUACGUUUCUCAUCUUUUAUAGUAAUUCAGACAUGUUGGGUGAGAGUCUAUAUUUUCCUCAGGAGCAAAGCACAGAAUUUGCAGCUCAUGGAGAUUUCAUAGACAUUAGGGCUGGAAGGAACCCCGUGAGAUUAUUGGGUCCAGCCCCCUGUCCAGGGGGCAGGAAGUCAGCUAGGGUCAGAUCACACCAGCAAGAGGAGGCAUCCAAUUGUUUCCUAAAGGUAUCCAGAGUAGAUCCUUGCGCAACUUCUGGGGGGGGCGGAAUCUAUUCCAGACCCUGGAGACUCUGACUGUAAAGCUGUUCCGUAUAUGUCCAGUCUAAAAUGGUCUUCUAGCAGUUUCUGACCAUUAGGCCUUGUCUUCUCUUAUGGUGCCCUGGUGAACAGACAUUCUCCCAGUUCCUGAUGCACACCCCUUAAUACUUACAGGCUGCCACCAAGUCACCCCUGAGCCUUUGCUUCUUCAGGAUGAAGAGUCCCAUGUCCCUCUGCCUCUCCUCGUAAGGCUUGCUCUCUUGGCCUUUGAUCAUGCGGGUGGCUCUCCUUUGGACUCUCUCAAGCUGCUGUACAUCCUUUCUGAAGUGUGGAGCCCAGAAUUGAAUGCAGUACUCCAGCUGUGGCCUCACCAAGGCCGAGUAAAGCAGGAAGAUGACUUCUUGGAUCUUGCUUGAGAUGCAUAGAUACAUAAAGCUUCAAAAAGACUCUUCCUACAUCAGGAGGACCAGCCCUAAUCAAUACGCUACACAAGGGGAGCAGAUGGUUGUACUAGAUCUCAUGAUGAAAUUAUUGAUCAGUUCAGGAUUUUGGGGGAUGAACACUAAGAUAUUGUAAAUGGAUUGUAGCCAAUGGUCAUUUUAGUACACUUUUUAACACUUAGAUGUUUUGAAUUUACAUUCUUGUCUAAUUUUUGUCAAGUGUAGUACAUUCAUUGGUUUUAUUUCUCUUUCUUCCCUGUUUGUGACAGAACUAUGCAUUUGACCUACAUUUUACAUGUCCUUUCCAAGCAAUUUGUUAAGGUAUUUGUUAUGUAGAUACAAUUGUUUUUUUCAGAUUAUAAUAAUAUAUAUCUUUAUGUUGUGGGUAUAUAAAGUUUGGGAGCAAUUUGGGCAAACAAAAUAUAGAAAUAUGACCAUGAACUUUAAACUUUUUGUUACUGUUAAUGUAACGUGAACUUUUGUUGCAUUUUAGAAACACUAAUCAGAGGCAUUGAGCUAUGACGUUUGAGUUGCAUCUGUCUGCACUGAUACUAUGUCAAACAGUUACACUACAUGAGUUUCAAAUCACUUAAAAUAAUUUUACAGUUUAUAAAACAUUUAAUUUAAUUCUUAGCUGUAUUCAGACAGGUUACUAAAUUACUUUUCUAGAAGUCUUUUAUGUGCAAAUUAGUGUUGCUUAUUUUAUGCACAUUUGAUUUUUAAAACAAGGAAAACUGAAGACUUCAUAACAACCUGUCGGGAAGACUCAGUGUCAACAGGCACAUAGUAGCUAUGUAAUUGGAAUCAGUUUUGGGCUUACUAAGGCACACUUUUAUUUUCCCCAAAGGACUGAUCUUAUCAUACUUGGAAUUAGUAUAUUGAAUUAGAAUUCACACAGUAAAGUGUUGGAAACAGCAAUUCUACGUAAAUACCUGCUUCAUAAAUGAAGCCAGAAUAAGAUUAAAUGCAUCUAAAAAUAUACGUUAAAAUGUAAAAAUAUUGCAACUCUAAGAAUAUUUUAAAAUAGUCAAAUUAUUUUAAUUUAGUUUUUUUAAUUACUUUGAUUUUUAAUAUAGCAGGUAUUUUGUCUACCUGUUGCAUGCUGCUGAUACAAUUAUAGAGACAUCUUCUUACUCUUAGGCUUUUUUGUGUUUCUUUUUGGCUCAGGAAUAGUUGCUGUGAUUUUAAAAAAAACCUGCAAAGUCUGAUAAAGGAGCUAGAAAAAAGAAAAUAUACUUUCUUUUAAAGAGAGGCAUCAAAGUAACCCUAACAGUGGUUGCAUCUUAGUUGACAGGGACAUUUCUUAAAAUACCUUUAAUACUGUUUUGAGACUAGGAUUUUACUUGCAUACACUUACAAUGAAAGGGACAUAUUAGGUGCUUGUUUCUUGUUUGGAAUUCCAGCUCACAAGGCUGAGAAUUCCAUGUGCAAAACAAGGGUAACAUAUGCCCCAAAGUGGUUUCUUUACACUUUACAGGAAAGCAAUAAUCCUCUUAAACUGUGAUGUAGGUUGAGGCAGAAUAUGGUAUGUUUUUUUGGAGUAAAAUUACUUCUGAUUGUGAAUUGCAGAGCAAUACUUUUUUACAAAGCCAUAUUUUAUAGGGAAGCUUGGGAGAAAAAAUUAAAACUGGUGAAAGGAGGAUAUAAACUUCACUGCGUUUUUGUACGAAGUGGCAGUCUAUUUAUAGAAUUAUGGGACUGUGAGGUUGCGUUAUGCUGUGAUCAAAUUUUAAACUCUUUGUAAUUAAGUAUGUGAUUUUAUGAGCUUCAUGUUUACAAAAUUGUGCCAAGCUGGGCAAAGACAAGGGGAUUUAAAAAUAAUGUAUAUUUAAUCCGUUUUAAUGUUUGGCUGCAAUAAAAAACAGAAGAAUA